UUUCACAAGGGAAGCGGAGAUGCGCUAUGAAUUAUGUCGCGUUACGGAUAGGUUUAAUUUGUUACAAUUUGUUAUUUGUUUGAUUUCUUAGCAUUUAAAGUUUGUUUUUUAAAAAGAUUAUUUAUAUGUGUGUAAUUGUGAUGUAAGCAUAUAUUCAUAAUUCUGUGAAUCUUUCGAUUUGAACGACUUUUCAUGUGAAGUUGAAAUUCCAAAAUGGCGCCCACUUUCCAUGGAGACCGGAAACGAGAAAUAAGAACUCAGCUGGUGAAAAGACUGCUGUCAAAGAAGAAGAAAUUUUCAAGAAAUGCUCAUAUUUGUGCUCUCAUUCAUAGUACUGUGAAAAGGGUUUUGGGAGGGAAGAGGACUUUAGGAAACUCGAUGGACGCCGAUCAUAAUUUCCACUCGGUGGAUGUAGAUGUAAAAGGGGGAGAUCGUUUAAUUUAGAUAAGUUUGUUAUUAAGUAUUGGGUCAGGUAACAUUUCUCAGUUUUUUUAGUAUUUUUCACCGCUAUGUGUUCAACUUGUUUUGUUAUUUGUUGAUAAUAUCAAAUAAAUGAAUAAAUCUUGUUUACAAAAUUAAUACUAUUCUAAAUUUAACAUUUCACGAUGAUUUAUUGCAGUACAGGGUCCGACGAGGCUCUGACAUUGAAAUGUUUGGCUGUUCAUUGCAACAUCGUUAGGGUCAGCUCGUGUAGACUAGACUGUAUUCUGAUGAAUCAGAUGAUAGUGGACCCAGCGUCCCGGCCCUCCUCAAGAUUCCCCCAUUCCUGGUGCUGUUUGUCGCCAUGUUAGCUUCUGCCUUUGGUAUUCCCAUUCAUUAAAGAUCUAAGAAAAUGGCAUUCCAUAAGAACGUCCAUGGCUGUCUUGUGUGGAUGAUAAUGGCAGAGAAAUUCCUCACUGACCUCGCAUAAUUCCACUUGCUGUCCCCCGUAGUAGGUAUUUUGCCAAAUGUAGCGAUCCCUCAGAUCUGCCACUAAUGGGAUGGAUGUGAUCCUCCUCCCUGCGUUUACUAGCAUGUAUGAAAGAGGUAUUGUGUUUGGGACCCACCUCCCAGUGUUCUGCUGUAUAUAUGGUUUGUAGAUCAAACAAAAGUUUUCAAAAACCAGAUAAUGUUAAAAACUUUUCACUUUACAGUGGUAAUCUACUAUGGGCAAUGAUAUUUUGUAUAAAAUUCAGAGUUCAUUUCCUCGCCCUCGGUUAAAUCAAGUGAGAAAAGCUAAAACUGAAUUUUGGCUAUUUGACAAGUAAUUUAUAUUAAAUGUCAAAUUCUGUUGUAGUUUUCAGCUUGACUAGAAGGUGAAUAAAUGAAACUUCAUCUUUCAAACUCUGAAAUUAUAACUUUAACAUUUCACAGCUUGCUUGCAUCAUGAUUGUCCCAAUCAAGAAUUUAUGAUUGAAUUACCUGGGAGCUGACUCAUUGCUUCUGGUGUACACUUUGAUGAGUGGGAGGAUACGUCUCCUGGUUCUUGCAUUUAAAGAGAAUUUAAAACAGACCCGAGGACCAGACUGAAACCCUGACCAUGACAAUAUUAAAAAAAGAAAUAAUCUAUAAUGUUGAAUUAAAGUAAGGUGGUACCUGUUGGAAGGUAAUAUAAAAGG
rnacentral:sRNA from 1 species